UACGUAGGGUGCAAGCGUUAAUCGGAAUUACUGGGCGUAAAGCGUGCGCAGGCGGUUAUGCAAGACAGAUGUGAAAUCCCCGGGCUUAACCUGGGAAUGGCAUUUGGGACUGCAAGGCUGGAGUGCGGCAGAGGAGACUGGAAUUCCUGGUGUAGCAGUGAAAUGCGUAGAUAUCAGGAGGAACACCGAUGGCGAAGGCAGGUCUCUGGGCUGACACUGACGCUCAUGCACGAAAGCGUGGGGAGCAAACAGG
rnacentral:rRNA from 1 species